GAUGAAGAACGCAGCGAAAUGCGAUAAGUAAUGUGAAUUGCAGAAUUCAGUGAAUCAUCGAAUCUUUGAACGCACAUUGCGCCCGCUAGUAUUCUGGCGGGCAUGCCUGUCCGAGCGUCAUUUCAACCCUCAAGCCCCCGGGCUUGGUGUUGGGGCCUGCUGUAAUAGAGCAGCCCUUAAAAUCAGUGGCGGUGCCAUUAGGCUCUAAGCGUAGUAAUUCUUCUCGCUAUAGGGUUCUGGUGGAUGCUUGCCAUUAACCUCUAAUUUUCUAUGGUUGACCUCGGAUCAGGUAGGGAUACCCGCUGAACUUAAGCAUAUCAAUAAGCGGAGGA
rnacentral:misc_RNA from 1 species